rnacentral:lncRNA from 1 species
UUUCUUUUCAGACAUGGCUGUACAGAGAGCGAUCGGACCCCUUCAGUUAAGACACAGCCUAAUGCAGUUUGCUUAGUGUGCGACUUCAGCAUGAUGACCUGUGGAUCUGCAAUUGAUUCCCUGUUGGUGGUGUUUCUACAUCUUUUGGGGGAACAAUAGCAAAAACACAGACCUUGCAGAGCCAUCAUCAGGACUGAGAAAACAUGCACAGAGACCACUCCAUCCAUGGGCAUCGCAGGCAGCUUUCCAUCAGAGGAGAGCUGCCCCUCUGGAAGUCACUGCUGACUUCUACAGUCUGAGCAGAGACAGCUUUUGCUGAAGUUCAUCUCCAGGAAGUUGACUGAACUCUGAAGAUGCUGACAGCUACCAGGUAGGACAAUCCCUGGGAAACCCUGAAAGGCCUGGAGUAGG